UACCUGCCUAACCACAUACCCCUUGCUCUUAGGUCCAGAAGGAACGGAUCCCAGGACACUCCAAGAUGUGCUUCCUGGCCCUGUUCCUCUGCCUCCUGGUGAUGGGCUUUCAGGGCUGCAGUGGGCAGAUUGUCCUGACUCAGUCUCCAGAGACCUUGGAAGCAACUCGAGGUGACUUUGUCUCCAUCACCUGUAGAAGCAGCACAGAUGUAGGCACCUCCAUAGCCUGGUACCAACAGAGACCGCAGGAGGCUCCCAGGCUGCUCUUCUUUGGAGCUUCUGCCCGGGCUGCUGGAACCCCUUCCCGGUUCCGGGGAAGUGGCUCUGGCUUUUACUUCUCUUUCUCUAUCCAUGGGGUGGAAGCCGAAGACAUUGGGGUGUUUUACUGCCAGCAGCAUUUCAGCCAGCCUCUCACAGUGACAGGUCGUCAAACGAAAUUACUCUUUCUGGGUGGAUGAUGCUUCUUUCGUGCACCUGCUUCCCACAAGGGGUGCAAUCUGAGAGUGUGAAAGGUUCACAUUGCAGAUGUCUAUGUUUUCAGAGUUUGUGAUCUCUGAUCUGUUAAGUCCGGGUCAGGGCAGAGUUAUUUCCUCAAAUUUAAAUAAGAUGUACAGAGGAGGAGAGGCAAAGAGGAGUGAAACCAAGCUGUUUCCUAGACAGGUGCUUUACCUGGCCUGAUUUGUUAAUUUUUUUCAUUUUCUUGCAGGAUAUCAGAACACUCCAAAAUGUAAAUGAUUAAAACAAUAAUUAUUUGUUGUGAUUCUAUGGGCUGACUGGGAGGUUUUUCUGUUGCUUGUCCUGAGCUCCCUCAUGUAGCUGCAGUCAGCUGGGUCAGUGGAGUGGGCAGUUUUCCUGCUGGCCUCACCCACCUGCCUGUCAGUCAGUGCUGGCUGUGGCUGGGAGCCUUGGUUCCUCUCUUAGUGACAUAGGAGGGCGGUGGGAGCACUCCAGCUUUGCUUCAGGUAUUUAAAGGUGAACUGUCUGCAGAAAUUUUUAUUUAAUAAUAAAACUGUUUCAUCUUGUAGAAAUCUUUUGCCUCCCUGGUCAGUUGUAUCCCUUGGUAUUUUAUUCUUUUUGUGGCAAUUGCAAGCAGGAGUUCGCUCCUGAUUUGGCUCUUGGCUUGACUAUUGUUGGUGUUUAGGAAUGUUAGUGAUUUUUGUACAUUGAUUUUGUGUCCUGAGACCUUGCAGAAGUUGCUGAUUAGCUUAAGGAGCUUUUAGAUUGAAACUGUGGGGUUUUCUAGAUAUAGGAUUAUGACAUUUGCAAACAGAAAUAGUUUUAUUUCCUUGCUUCCUAUAUGGAGG